UAGAAGUUUUGAAUCUUGCUCAGAUUGAACGCUGGCGGCAGGCUUAACCACAUGCAAGUCGAGCGGAGUGAUGGUGCUUGCACUAUCACUUAGCGGCGGACGGGUGAGUAAUGCUUAGGAAUCUGCCAUUUAGUGGGGGGACAACAUUCCGAAAGGAAUGCUAAUACCGCAUACGUCCUACGGGAGAAAGCAGGGGAUCUUCGGACCUUGCGCUAAAUGAUGAGCUAAGUCGGAUUAGCUAGUUGGUGGGGUAAAGGCCUACCAAGGCGACGAUCUGUAGCGGGUCUGAGAGGAUGAUCCGCCACACUGGGACUGAGACACGGCCCAGACUCCUACGGGAGGCAGCAGUGGGGAAUAUUGGACAAUGGGCGGAAGCCUGAUCCAGCCAUGCCGCGUGUGUGAAGAAGGCCUUUUGGUUGUAAAGCACUUUAAGCGAGGAGGAGGCUCUCCUAGUUAAUACCUAGGAAGAGUGGACGUUACUCGCAGAAUAAGCACCGGCUAACUCUGUGCCAGCAGCCGCGGUAAUACAGAGGGUGCGAGCGUUAAUCGGAUUUACUGGGCGUAAAGCGUGCGUAGGCGGCUGAUUAAGUCGGAUGUGAAAUCCCUGAGCUUAACUUAGGAAUUGCAUUCGAUACUGGUCAGCUAGAGUAUGGGAGAGGAUGGUAGAAUUCCAGGUGUAGCGGUGAAAUGCGUAGAGAUCUGGAGGAAUACCGAUGGCGAAGGCAGCCAUCUGGCCUAAUACUGACGCUGAGGUACGAAAGCAUGGGGAGCAAACAGGAUUAGAUACCCUGGUAGUCCAUGCCGUAAACGAUGUCUACUAGCCGUUGGGGCCUUUGAGGCUUUAGUGGCGCAGCUAACGCGAUAAGUAGACCGCCUGGGGAGUACGGUCGCAAGACUAAAACUCAAAUGAAUUGACGGGGGCCCGCACAAGCGGUGGAGCAUGUGGUUUAAUUCGAUGCAACGCGAAGAACCUUACCUGGCCUUGACAUACUAGAAACUUCCAGAGAUGGAUGGCUCCGAUC
rnacentral:rRNA from 1 species